rnacentral:lncRNA from 1 species
GUGCUUGACCUUCCUCAACCCUCUCUGAGUUCAAGAUGACUUGGCAAUAAACCUUCAGAUGAGAGGCAUGUGAAAUGGGCCAUAGAAGAAAAUAAUUCUCACAAUCUCUGUGAGUGCAUACGAGGCCGUCACAGACCCUACAGCCAUUACAGAGGUGUGGAGGAAAGUGCCAUCACCCCUAGACUGACCCCAGACCCGCUAGAAGCUUCUUAGAUCAACAUGCUGAUCAGAACAGCUCAAUGUUGAUGGAUGCGAUCACGGAAGAGGGGAUGCUGGGUGUUGGCUGCGUUUCACAGCAUUGUUUUCCAGCUUUGCUCUCUCCGGAUGCCCCCUCCAUCCUCAUAUUUAACCCCACCGCCUUCCUCUCCUCCCCUCCUCCAUCGCUCCAGUGAAAAGUACUUCCUACUUCCCAGCCAAUUGGUAGGGAAGCCGUGCCAACUCCACA